rnacentral:rRNA from 1 species
UACGAAGGGGGCUAGCGUUGCUCGGAAUUACUGGGCGUAAAGGGCGCGUAGGCGGAUGUCUAAGUCAGAGGUAAAAGCCCAGGGCUCAACCUUGGAACUGCCUUUGAUACUGGACAUCUUGAGUACGGGAGAGGUGAGUGGAAUUCCGAGUGUAGAGGUGAAAUUCGUAGAUAUUCGGAGGAACACCAGUGGCGAAGGCGGCUCACUGGCUCGGUACUGACGCUGAGGUGCGAAAGCGUGGGGAGCAAACAGG